ensembl:lncRNA
CUCAGGGACAGGCAGAGAGGUAAGGUGGGCGGGUACAGGCUCAGGGACAGGCAGAGAGGUAAGGUGGGCGGGUACAGGCUCAGGGACAGGCAGAAAGGUAAGGCGAGCGGGUACAGGGUCGGGACAGGCAGAGGUCAAAAACCAGGAGGCUGAGAAAAGAGAGGCAGGGAAAAAGACAGGAGCUGACAGGAAAACCACUGGUAAGCUUGAACGAACAAGACGAACUGGCAACAAACAGAGAACACAGGUAUAAAUACACAGGGGAUAAUUGGGAAGAUGGGCGACACCUGGAGGGGGGCGAGACAAGCAAAGGUGAAACAGAUCAGGGCAUGACAGUUUUGCACCAAGUCUCUUGCACUGGCUAGAUGUACACUCACUGGACUCUAACCACACACAUACUACAAUGACACUCUAACACACACACACAGACAGACACACACAUUCCGUCCUUCACACUAAUCACACACGCUACUGCUACUCUCUGUUUAUUUUCUAUGCAUAGUCACUUUACCCCUACCUACAUGUACAUAUUACCUCAACUAACCCGUACCCCUGCACAUUGACUUGGUACCCCUUGUAAACUCAGCAAAAAAAGAACCGUCCCUUUCUCAGGACCCUGUCUUUCAAAGAUUAUUUGUAAAAAUAAAGGGUUUAAACACUGUUUCCCAUGCUUGUUCAAUAAACCAUAAACAAUUUAGGAACAUGCACCUGUGGAACGGUCGUUAAGACACUAACAGCUUACAGACGGUAGGCAACUAAG